AUUGAACGCUGGCGGCAUGCUUUACACAUGCAAGUCGAACGGUAACAGGGUGCUUGCACCGCUGACGAGUGGCGAACGGGUGAGUAAUGCGUCGGAACGUGCCGAGUAGUGGGGGGUAACGCAGCGAAAGUUGUGCUAAUACCGCAUACGUACUGAGGUAGAAAGUGGGGGACCUUCGGGCCUCACGCUAUUCGAGCGGCCGACGUCUGAUUAGCUAGUAGGUGAGGUAAAGGCUCACCUAGGCGACGAUCAGUAGCGGGUCUGAGAGGAUGAUCCGCCACACUGGGACUGAGACACGGCCCAGACUCCUACGGGAGGUAGCAGUGGGGAAUUUUGGACAAUGGGCGAAAGCCUGAUCCAGCCAUGCCGCGUGUCUGAAGAAGGCCUUCGGGUUGUAAAGGACUUUUGUCAGGGAGGAAAUCCCUAGUGCUAAUAACACUGGGGGAUGACAGUACCUGAAGAAUAAGCACCGGCUAACUACGUGCCAGCCGCCGCCGUAA
rnacentral:rRNA from 1 species